GAUGAACGCUGGCGGCGUGCCUAAUACAUGCAAGUCGAGCGAACGGACGAGAAGCUUGCUUCUCUGACGUUUGCGGCGGACGGGUGAGUAACACGUGUAUAACCUACCUAUCAGACUGGGAUAACUUCGGGAAACCGUAGCUAAUACCGGAUAAUAUUUUGAACCGCAUGGUUCAAAAGUGAAAGUCGGUCUUGCUGUCACUACUAGCUGGAUCCGCGCUUCAUUAGCUAGUUGUUAAGGUAACGGCUUUCCAAGGCAACGAUGCAUAGCCGACCUGAGAGGGUGAUAGGCCACCCGAGAACUGGGACGCCGUCCAGGCUCCUAAGGGAGGGCGCAGGAGGGAAUCUUACGCAAUGGGGGGAAACCUGGCGGAACGACCGCGCGUGAGUGGUAGAAGUCCUCCGAUCGUGAAAACCUGUUUUUGGGGGAAAACAUAUGUGGAAGGUAACGAGGACAUAUUGACGGUACCUAAUCAGAAAGCCACGGCUAACUACGUG
rnacentral:rRNA from 1 species